AUGGCCAUGAAAAUACCAAGAAAGGACCUUUUCUCAAGUGACAUUGAUGUUUCUUCUAGACUGUGAUCAUAUCAUCAACAUACAGAAAUAUGACCAUGACCCCAUGAGAAAGACAGGACAUGGAAAGAUUAAAUGCAAUAAUACUGAAGCUAUCUACCACCAACCUUCUAGACUGGAUAUCCCAAGACAGGCAUUAGGAGCCAC
rnacentral:lncRNA from 1 species